ACAAUAGACUACCCGAGGUAGUCCACGCCCUAAACCGAUGCGAACUGGAUGUUGGGUACAUUACGGUACUCAGUGUCGAAGCUAACGCGUUAAGUUCGCCGCCUGGGGAGUACGGUCGCAAGACUGAAACUCAAAGGAUUGACGGGGGCCCGCACAAGCGGUGGAGUAUGUGGUUUAAUUCGAUGCAACGCGAAGAACCUUACCUGGCCUUGACAUCUGUCGAAUCCUGCAGAGAUGCGGGAGUGCCGCAAGGAACGACAAGACAGGUGCUGCAUGGCUGUCGUCAGCUCGUGUCGUGAGAUGUUGGGUUAAGUCCCGCAACGAGCGCAACCCUUGUCCCUAGUUGCCAGCACGUAAUGGUGGGAACUCUAGGGAGACUGCCGGUGACAAACCGGAGGAAGGUGGGGAUGACGUCAAGUCCUCAUGGCCCUUACGGCCAGGGCUACACACGUACUACAAUGGUCGGUACAGAGGGUUGCGAAGCCGCGAGGUGAAGCCAAUCCCAGAAAACCGAUCCCAGUCCGGAUCGGAGU
rnacentral:rRNA from 1 species